rnacentral:rRNA from 1 species
UACGAACUGUGCAAGCGUUGUUCGGAAUCAUUGGGCGUAAAGCGCGUGUAGGUGGCUAGUUAAGUCGGGUGUGAAAUCCCUGGGCUCAACCGAGGAAGUGCACUCGAAACUGGCUGGCUAGAAGAUGGUAGAGGAAGGUGGAAUUCCAAGUGUAGAGGUGAAAUUCGUAGAUAUUUGGAGGAAUACCGGCGGCGAAGGCGGCCUUCUGGGCCAUUCUUGACACUGAGACGCGAAAGCGUGGGGAGCAAACGGG